rnacentral:lncRNA from 1 species
GGGAGUCUCCGGUAGAAACGGAGCCCGGGCUCCUCCGGCGCGAGCAGCUAGCUGCCCAGCGGCGAUGCAAAGCUGCCAUAAGCACCCCCCCCGCACGGCUGCGGCGCGGAAGGGGUUAAGCCCUCUCGGCCAGACCCCUCCAGGCCCGGUUGGAGCUCUAGGACCUCCGCACCGCUCAGCUGAAGUGGCCACAAGCAGCUCCUCUGCCGGCGCUUCCGUGCGCCUCAAGGAGCGUCACGGCACGUUACGGCACGGCACGGCGCGAUAGCUCCGCCCCGGAGCCUCUGACCCUGAGGGGGAGGGGAAGAAAAGCUGCGCUGCGCCUGCGCUCACCUGAGUGCACGCGCUUCCGGCUUUACUCGCCAAGCGGAGUCCCUGACCUUUGAGCGCAUGCUCAAGAAACUCCGCAGUAAUUUCCCAGGGCUGCGCUAUUUUCAUUGGCUGCAGAAGUGUGAGAAGGUGGGGGAGUUUGGAUGCUAAUGAUGGCUGAGACUUCGUGCAGUCUGCAGUACACUUGUGUCUCUUCUGGUACGGAGUUCAGCCAGGAAGAAGAUUUUCCAGGGCAAAGUAAAGAACACUCGACUUUCCUCUUUUGCCCUGUUUUAUUUCUGGAGGCUAGACAAGCUGGAGUGCUCAAGUUGGUGGAACUUGGGAAUUUUGAUACUCAGCACUCCCCUCCAGUGGCAGAACACCAGGAGAACACUGGACAUUAUUAUAUGAAUAGCAACUCUUAAAUCCCCGUGACUUGGAUCAAGGCAACUAGAUGGUGUAGUGGCAACAACCAAACAGAAGAGCGAGUCCCAAAGGCCUGGGGGAUUGAUUGAGGUAUGUAUCUGUAGAAGAGAGGAAUUGGGAAGCAUACAAAAGGCAUGACGAUCUGUCAAUUGAACAAAGGUUCCAUUUGGAAGGUUACUGGGAAAAGCAGUUGAAAGAAGGAACUGACCACCUGAAGGAUUAUGUCUUUUAACCUUGAAAGACAGAAAGGAGUGAUCUUGGAGAUUGAAGAAGGAAGGACAAUAGUCCAGAGACAUACAUCUCUUUGACUUGCUCUGUUUAUGAUAGUGACUGAACUGCCAGACCUAUCAAUCAUUCCUCUCAAUUUGAACUCUAUCCCAAAAUUCUCCAAUCUAAAGCUUACUGUAGAGUUAAGGAAAUGCCCAACCCUCUUACCUUCAUUCUCUAUUUUUUCCUGUCUUAUCCAAAUAAACCCUUUGCUUAAGAUAAAAAAAAGAAAAAG